rnacentral:rRNA from 1 species
AUGGUCGCCCAGGACGCGGCCCCGGAGGAGGCGCUGCGCGCCGCCGCGGCCGAGGUCUCCACCCCGUCCGCGACGCGCCGCCUCCGCCUCUUCCGCGACACCCUCCCGCCUCUCCUCGCGAAGGCCACAGAGUCGCCGUCAGAUACCACAUUGUUAGUUGAUCUCAUUUUCCAGACAUUGCCUUUAUAUGAUGACCGUGCCUCAAGGAAAGCGGUAGAUGAUAUGGUUAUUCGGGCUCUCAGUGAAUCCACCUUUAUGAAAACGUUUGCUGCUACACUUGUUCAGUCUAUGGAAAAGAAUCUGAAGGUUACAAGCCCUCUUGCUUGCUUCAAGCUUCUUAGAUGGUCAUGCUAUCUUCUGAAAUGGACCCAGUUUGCCACACUCUCUAAAGGUGGUUUCUCUAGACUGGCCAAUGCACAGGCAGUGUUAUCUCAGGUCCUUAUGAAUGGUUCUUUUCGUCAGCGUCGGACCUGCAAGCAACUAUUCAUCCGUCUUUUCUCUGAGUCUGUUGGAAUAUAUAAGAUGUACAUAGAGGAGGUCAAAGAUUUGAGGAUUGCAACAAAGGAUUCUCCUGCAUUCAUAAAUCUAAUACUGGAUUUCACCGUUACUUCAUCGUCAUUGUUCUCUGAAUAUAAGCCAGUAUUCCUUGAUUUGUAUGUCAAAACCAUCUUGAGUUCAAAAGACCGUCCAUCAGAAGCAGCCAGUGAAGCUUUUAAGCCUCUUUUCGUGGAUAUUGGGCAUGAGGAUUUUAAAAAUGUUAUUCUCCCAUCAUGCAUAAAGAUGCUGAAAAGAAAUCCUGAGAUUGUGCUAAAGUCUAUUGGACAUCUUCUAUUGACAGUUCGUUUGGACCUAAGCAAUUAUGCCAUGGAGUUCAUGCCAGUUAUUCUGCAUCAGGCACGUCAUUCAGAUGAAGAGAGGAGGAAUAAUGCUUUGAAUAUUGUAGGAACAUUAAGUGAUAAGUCCAGCGAUCCAGACACUCUACCUUCCAUGUUCAAUGCUAUCAAAGCAAUUUUAGGAGGCUCAGAGGGGAAACUAUCACUACCAUACCAGAGAAUUGGAAUGUUGAAUGCUUUAGAGCAGUUGUCAAGAUUUCCUCCAAAGCAAAUAAGCAGACUCGCCCCCUCAGUAUCCAGCUUUCUUCUAACGUGUUACAAGGGUGAUGGUAUCGAGGAAGUGAAAUUGGCAACUCUCUCGGCUCUGGGGUCAUGGGCUUCAGUAUCUUCUGAAGCUGUGCAACCAGAUGUUGUUUCAUUUAUAACUGCAGGAUUGAAAGAGAAGGACACUUUAAGAAAGGGGCAUCUAAAAUUAAUACGAGUCAUUUGCAGAAAUUCUGAUUCCCUGACCAAGGUUACGUCUUUGCUGGAUCAUUUGAUUCAGUUGUCAAAAACUGGCUUCAGCAAGGCAACACAGCGGUUGGAUGGAAUCUAUGCACUCUAUGCAGUAUCGAGGCUUGCUGCUAUUGAUGCCAAAGCAGAUGGUUCUAUCGUGAAGGAGAAGCUCUGGACAUUGAUUGCUCAAAGUGAACCCUCACUGAUCUCUGUUCAGUUGCUUUCCAAACUGACAGACGAAGAUUGCUUAACAUGUGUGGAUCUUCUUCAAUCACUGCUUGUGGAUCAUCUUUUUCGGAUCCAGGAAUACUUUUCAAUCCAGUCAUUGCUACAGGUGCUAAUGUAUCUAGUUUGCCAUCCAAGUUGGGCAGUUAGAAAGAUAGCUUAUGAUGCUACUAAGAACGUCCUUUCGAACUCCGGUGCCUUGGCUGAAGAUCUUCUAUUCUUGUUCACCAGUUGGUUAUCAUUAGUUGGAGAGAGAGUGUUGACACUGAAACAAAGUGAUAUGGAUAGCUCUGGAGAUUCACAACUACCAUUUAUUCCAUCUACUGAGAUCCUUGUGAAGUGCUUGUUCUUGAUUGCACCUUAUGCAAUUGACCAUAGUCGGAGAUCAUAUGCUCGACUUAUAUUGUGUUCCCACCACCCUAGUAUUUCAAGUUCUGGUUCUCCUGCUGGUGUAUGGAAGAGGUUGCAGAGAAGGCUGAAACAACAAAAUAUCUCCUUCACUGACUUAAUUUUUCCCAACAUUACAGUUAUCUGCAAGGAAUUGCUUUCACAGGAUGGUCUAUUUAGUUCGAACAAGCAAGAACAGCGAGCAGCACUAUGUUCAUUAGCAACGCUGAUGUCAAUAUCACCCAAUGAUACAUUUGUAGAGUUUGAAAAGUACUUCAUAGAGCUUCCAGACCGCACUUUGCACGAUGGCUUCUCUGAAAAUGAUAUCAAGAUAUUCUUUACUUCGGAGGGACAGUUGUCAACUGAGCAAGGAGUUUAUGUUGCUGAGGCUGUUGCUUCCAAAAACACAAAGCUUGCAAAGGGACGUUUUCGUGCAUAUGAUGGGCAAGAUGCGGACCCUGUGAAAAGUGAUAAGAGAGAAUCCUCUAGCAUUGGCAAGAGAGAAACCGGGAAAUCUACAAAAAAGACAGCUCCUGUUGACAAAUCCAAGACUGCAAAAGAGGAGGCCAGGGAGUUGCAAUUGAAGGAGGAAGCAUCUGUACGUGAGAAGGUUGGACACGUGCAGGAGAAUCUUACGCUAAUGUUGGAUGCUCUUGGUGAAUUGGCUAUUGCUAAUCCUGUAUUCACUCAUGGUCAACUUCCUCAUCUGGUAAAUUAUAUUGAACCGUUGCUAAGUUCUCCAAUAGUAAGUGAUGCUGCAUUUUGUGCCAUGUUGAGGCUAGCUCGCUGCACAGCCCCUCCGCUUUGCAAUUGGGCGACUGAGAUUGCUGCUGCUAUCCAUGUAAUGUCUGUUGAAGAUUUUGAAGCAGUUUUGGACCUUAUGCCUGUGAUUAUUAUGGAAGAAGAUAGCAAAAAGAGGUCGCCAUCUGGCCUCUUUGAAAAAAUUGUAACUGGGCUGACAGCUGCAUGCAGAACGGGACCCCUUCCAGCAGAUUCAUUUACUUUUGUCUUUCCGAUAAUGGAGAGGAUCCUUCUUUCUUCAAAAAAGACAUCUCUACAUGAUGAUGUGCUUCAGAUACUAUCUAUGCAUAUGGAUCCAAUAUUACCUCUACCUCGACCUAGAAUGUUAUCAGUUCUUUAUCAUGUGUUAAGUACUAUUCCUGCUUAUCAUCCUUCAGUUGGACCUAUGCUGAAUGAGUUGUGCCUGGGUCUUAAACAUGAUGAUUUAGCACAGGCUCUUAUUGGGGUAUAUGCAAAAGAAGUGCAUGUUAGGCUUGCCUGCUUAACUGCUAUAAAGUGUGUUCCUAGCCACUCUGUACAACGGGAUUUGCAGGUUUCAACUAGCCUCUGGAUUGCUGUUCAUGAUCCGGAGAAGGCGGUAGCUGAAUUAGCAGAGGAGUUAUGGGAUCGCUUCCGUUUUGAUGUUUGUGCUGAUUAUUCUGGCAUUUUUGAUGCACUUUCCCAUAAAAAUUACAAUGUCAGAGCUGCUGCAGCUGAGGCUCUGACGGCCGCAUUGGAUGAAAAUCCAGACAAAAUACAAGAUACACUCUCUACUCUUUUUUCGUUGUACAUUCAAGAUCUUGGUCCUGGAGUUGAAUUUGGAGAUACACACUGGCUUGGAAGACAGGGUAUUGCAUUAGCCCUCCACUCAGUUGCGGAUGUUUUAGGCUCUAAAGAUCUUCCUGUUGUCAUGACAUUUCUCAUAUCACGUGCCUUGGCUGAUCCUAAUCUGGAUGUUCGCGGUAGAAUGAUUAAUGCUGGCAUCCUUAUUAUUGAUAAACAUGGAAAGGAAAAUGUUCCUUUGCUGUUUCCCAUUUUUGAGAGCUACUUGAAUAAAAGGGCAUCAAAUGAGGAAACAUAUGAUCUUGUCAGGGAAGGUGUUGUUAUAUUUACUGGUGCUCUAGCAAAACAUCUAUCGAAGGAUGAUCCUAAAGUUCACAGUGUUGUUGAGAAGUUGCUAGAUGUACUCAACACCCCAUCAGAGGCAGUUCAGAGAGCGGUGUCAGACUGUCUGUCCCCACUUAUGGUCUCAAAGCAGGAAGAAGCCCAAUCUCUUGUAUCUAGACUACUAGAUCGGAUGAUGAAAUGUGAAAAGUAUGGUGAGCGGCGUGGUGCAGCCUUUGGUCUUGCUGGGGUGGUUAAAGGAUUUAGAAUUACUUCCUUGAAGAAGUAUGGUAUUGCUGCAACAUUACAACAGGCUUUGGAAGACAGAGCGUCUGCAAAAUCCCGUGAAGGAGCAUUACUUGGAUUUGAGUGCCUGUGUGAAAAGCUUGGCAGACUAUUUGAGCCUUAUGUCAUCAAGAUGCUGCCCUUGCUAUUAGUGUCUUUCUCUGAUCAAGUUCUGGCAGUACGUGAGGCUGCUGAAUGUGCUGCUCGCGCAAUGAUGUCUCAGCUCACCGGUCAUGGUGUGAAGCUUGUCCUUCCUUCACUUCUGAAGGGCCUAGAGGAUAAAGCAUGGCGAACUAAGCAAAGUAGUGUUCAACUUCUUGGCGCUAUGGCAUAUUGUGCUCCUCAACAGCUAUCUCAGUGCCUUCCGAAGAUCGUCCCAAAGCUAACAGAGGUACUAACAGACACACAUCCUAAAGUGAAAGCAGCGGGACAGACAGCCCUCCAACAGGUUGGAAGUGUCAUAAAAAAUCCUGAAAUAAACGCACUUGUCCCGAUUCUUCUGUCUGCUCUGACAGAUCCGAAUGACCACACAAAACAUUCUCUUGACAUCCUUCUUCAGACGACUUUCAUUAACUCCAUAGACGCACCAUCACUUGCGUUGCUGGUGCCUAUUGUGCACAGAGGAUUGAGGGAGAGAGGUGUUGAUACUAAGAAGAAAGCUGCUCAGAUUGUUGGAAACAUGUCUUCUUUAGUUACAGAACCAAUGGAUAUGAUCCCAUACAUAGGAUUGCUCUUGCCUGAAGUCAAGAAGGUUCUAGUGGAUCCCAUUCCUGAAGUCAGGGGAGUUGCUGCUCGAGCUCUUGGGUCUCUUAUAGUAGGAAUGGGUGAACAAAUAUUCCCAGAUCUUGUGCCAUGGUUGUUAGAGACACUAAAAUCUGAUAAUAGUAAUGUUGAACGAUCUGGAGCUGCGCAGGGACUAAGUGAGGUUUUAGCUGCUCUUGGCAAAGAUUACUUCGAUCAGAUUCUUCCUGACAUCAUCCGGAACUGUUCCCAUCAGAAGGCUUCUGUUCGCGAUGGACAUCUGACACUUUUCCGCUAUCUGCCGAGGUCCAUGGGUGCAAUUUUUCAGAAUCAUCUGCAGGCUGUUCUUCCUGCUAUAUUAGAUGGUCUUGCUGAUGAGAAUGAAUCUGUUCGUGAUGCUGCACUUUCUGCGGGUCAUAUCUUUGUGGAGUACUAUGCAACGACGUCUUUACCUCUAUUGCUUCCUGCCAUUGAGGAUGGGAUAUUCAGUGAUAAUUGGCGUAUCCGACAAAGUUCUGUUGAACUUUUGGGAGAUCUUUUGUUCAAGGUGGCUGGAACUUCUGGGAAGGCAAUCCUUGAGGGUGGAAGCGAUGAUGAAGGUGCUAGCACAGAGGCCCAGGGACGUGCAAUUGUUGAAGUUCUUGGAAGGGCGAAACGCAAUGAGGUUCUUGCUGCCGUUUAUAUGGUCCGUUCUGAUGUCAGCUUGACCGUCCGGCAGGCUGCGGUACAUGUCUGGAAGACAAUUGUAGCAAAUACUCCAAGAACUCUGAAGGAGAUCAUGCCAGUACUUAUGGACACCCUUAUUUCAUCUCUUGCGUCAUCUUCCUCGGAACGGCGGCAGGUUGCCGGGAGAGCACUUGGAGAGCUUGUUAGGAAGCUUGGCGAGAGAGUUUUGCCCUCUAUUAUUCCCAUUUUGUCACAAGGACUCAAGGAUCCAAAUGCUAGCAGAAGACAAGGCGUUUGCAUCGGCUUGAGUGAGGUUAUGGGAAGUGCUGGGAAACAUCAACUAUUAAGUUUUAUGGGUGAACUUAUUCCUACCAUCAGAACUGCUUUGUGUGACAGCACGCAGGAGGUUCGGGAAUCUGCUGGAUUAGCAUUUAGUACCCUAUAUAAGAGCGCUGGAUUGCAAGCAAUUGAUGAGAUUGUCCCCACACUGCUGCGGGCCAUGGAAGAUGACGAGACAUCUGCAACAGCCCUUGAUGGUCUAAAGCAGAUUUUAAGCGUCCGAACUGCAGCUAUUUUGCCUCAUAUAUUGCCCAAAUUAGUCCAGCCCCCUCUCUCUUCAUUCAAUGCGCAUGCAUUGGGAGCUCUAGCUGAGGUUGCUGGGCCAGGUUUGAGUUCACACAUUGGAACUAUCCUCCCGACAUUAAUACUUGCUAUGGAUGAUGAAGAUGUGGAUGUACAAAGCACAGCCAAAAAGGCUGCUGAAACCAUUGUGUUGGUUAUUGAUGAUGAAGGAGUUGAGACAUUAAUACCUGAACUUCUGAGAGGAGUCAAUGACAAUCAGGCAUCUAUGAGACGGGGCGCAGCCUACCUUAUUGGUUUCCUCUUCAAAAAUAGUAAAUUGUAUUUGGCUGAUGAAGCUCCAGAUAUGAUGUCUACCCUAAUUACUUUGUUGAGCGAUACUGAUAACGCUACUGUAUUGGCUGCUUGGGAAGCAUUUUCAAGAGUUGUUGGCUCUGUUCCAAAGGAACAGCUCCCUACACAUAUAAAAUUAGUGCGUGACGCUGUCUCUACAGCCAGAGAUAAAGAACGUAGGAGGAGAAAGGGUGUGCCUGUUCUCCUACCUGGAUUAUGUCUUCCUAAAGCAUUGCAGCCAUUUCUUCCUAUAUUUCAGCAGGGUUUAAUUAGUGGCUCGGCCGAGACAAAGGAGCAGGCAGCAGAAGGUCUGGGAGAGUUAAUUGAUGUUACAAGCGAGAAAACACUUAGGGAAGUCGUCGUGCCAAUUACAGGACCUCUUAUACGCAUCCUGGGAGACCGAUUUCCAUGGCAAGUUAAGUCAGCUAUCCUAUCAACCCUGACUAUUAUCAUCGCAAAAGGUGGUCUUGCGCUUAAGCCCUUCCUUCCACAACUUCAGACAACGUUUGUUAAAUGUCUACAAGAUAGCAACAGAUCUGUCCGCACAAGGGCCGCAUCAGCUCUUGGAAAGCUUAGCGCGUUAAGCACAAGAAUUGAUCCUUUAGUUAGCGAUCUUUUGUCCAUGUUGCAGUCAGGAGAUGACGCUGUUAAGGAAAGUGUGCUUUCUGCACUUAAAGGUGUUGUUAGGCAUGCUGGCAAAAGUGUUAGCUCUGCAAUCAGAUCACGUGGGUGUACUCUUCUCAAAGAUUUGCUGCAGGCUGAUGCUGAUGAUGUCCGCAGUUCUGCUGCAAAAGCAAUUGGUACAUUAUCUCAGUACAUGGAUGAGACCGAGACCACCGAUCUGGUGCAGACCCUGUUGAGCAUGGGCACAUUACCAGACUGGUGUACCAGACAUGGUGCUUUGUUAACAUUCUCUUCCAUAUCAAGGCAUUGUCCAACAAAACUGUGCCAUUCAACAUCAUUUUCAUCUAUUGUUGAUCUUCUGAAAGAUUCGCUAAAAGAUGACAAGUUCCCUGUUCGUGAAGCCUCUACGAAAACUCUGGGAAGGCUUCUUUGUUACCAGUUACAAUUCGGGGGCAGCACCUUGCAACUUGUUCAAUUGCUCAUCUUGGCCUUGCGUGAUAGUUCAACUGAAGUUAGGAGAAGAUCGUUGUCCUGUAUCAAAGCUGCUGCGAAGAUAAAUCAUUCAGCUCUUGCCACACAUAUCUCGAUAUUGGGCCCGGCAAUUGGUGAUACUUUGAAGGAUAGUAGUUCGCCAGUACGUAUAGCUGCAGAGCGCUGUGCCGUUCAUGUUUUCCAGUUGACCAAAGGGGCAGAUUAUGUUACCACUGCGCAAAAGCAUCUCACCAACAUGACAGGGUUAGAAGUAAGAAGACUUGCAAAGCUUCCUGUGGAGAGUGACGACAGUGAAAGCAGUGACGAUGACAGGAGGGCAUAG